rnacentral:rRNA from 1 species
UAAGGAAAUAUUGGUCAAUGGACGAAAGUCUGAACCAGCCAUGCCGCGUGGAGGAUGAAGGCCCUCUGGGUUGUAAACUUCUUUUAUAUGGGACGAAAAAAGAUCUUUCUAGAUCACCUGACGGUACCAUAUGAAUAAGCACCGGCUAACUCCGUGC